GAUGAACGCUGGCGGCGUGCUUAACACAUGCAAGUCGAGCGAAGCGCUUUGAAUUUUUCGGAAUGAGAAGUGACUGAGCGGGCGACGGGUGAAGGUAACGCGUGGUAACCGUGCCUCAUACAGGGGGAUAACAGUUAGAAAUGACUGCUAAUACCGCAUAAGCGCACGUCAUCGCAUGAUGGUGUGUGAAAAACUCCGGUGGUAUGAGAUGGACCCGCGUCUGAUUAGGUAGUUGGUGGGGUAACGGCCCACCAAGCCGACGAUCAGUAGCCGACCUGAGAGGGUGACCGGCCACAUUGGGACUGAGACACGGCCCAA
rnacentral:rRNA from 1 species